AACAGGAUAAAACAAUGAAUGAAUGACUGAAUAUUUAGAAAUUUGAAAAGCUAACACAAACGAUGCAGAUUUUAUAUCAAAUGAAAGAUAUUAACUUGUUACCACAUGGUACAAAAAUAAAAUGUUACCAACACGAAAAAGAAUUAGAAUAGUUGUUCUAUUUUAAUAAUAUAGAUUAUUGAACCAUUUUGUAAUUUUUCUGAAGUAUAUAUA
rnacentral:lncRNA from 1 species